CACAUCUGCAUAUAUUUAGUUGCUGCUUCGAUUUAUAUUUGGCACGUCCGUGAAGAAUUCGCAAGACUAUUUCAUUACGAUACUUGAUCACCAAAAUAAUUCAAUUCUCUGCACCAAGUUAUUCAAUAUUAGAUUCUAGUGGGACACUAUUCGGGGGCUUCUCAAAGAGGCUUUUAUCUUUGGCGCCAGGUUUGGAUGCUCGGUUCCUGGAUUUCCCUUAGACUUCUCAGGCUCAUAGGAGUAGCAAUGAGCCAAGUAUGAGUGCACCACAUGAUAGCUGAUCGGGUGGUGUUUGGAGUAUUUUUGAGGUAGCAAUUAAUCUAUGUUUCUAUAGUUGAUUUACUACCCCUUCUCAU